GUGGGGAAUCUUCCGCAAUGGGCGAAAGCCUGACGGAGCAACGCCGCGUGAAUGAAGAAGGCCUUCGGGUCGUAAAGUUCUGUCUUUAGGGAAGAAGUCCCUUGAUGUAAAUAAUGUCAAGGGGUGACGGUACCUAAGGAGGAAGCUCCGGCUAACUACGUGCCAGCAGCCGCGGUAAUACGUAGGUGGCAAGCGUUGUCCGGAAUUACUGGGCGUAAAGGGCGCGUAGGCGGGAAUGCAAGUCAGAUGUGAAAACUCCGGGCUCAACUUGGAGAUUGCAUUUGAAACUGUGUUUCUUGAGGGCAGGAGAGGAAAGUGGAAUUCCUAGUGUAGCGGUGAAAUGCGUAGAUAUUAGGAGGAACACCAGUGGCGAAGGCGACUUUCUGGACUGUACCUGACGCUGAUGCGCGAAAGCGUGGGUAGCAAACGGGAUUAGAUACCCGGGUAGUCC
rnacentral:rRNA from 1 species